CUCGGUGCAGACACACUCCACCACCUAAGCUAUCAGAGAGAGAGAGACAGAGAGAACGGGACGACGUCGCCGGCGUGCUCGACGCGUGUCCGACGUCGUGGCAGCCGCCGAGCUCGCCCAUAUCCACUCCAAUGCGCCGCAUUGUCUCCAUUUCCUCUCCUGCGUCGAUCCAGCCGACGGAGAGAGCCCCCUUUUGCUUCCACUCGCUAUUCUUUCUCUGCCGGCCGUGGAGACGACGACCGCCGCCGCCGCCAUCGAGCCACGGUCGUCACUCUUCCUCUUGCGUUCUGUGGCCUCCCCAUGACGCCGAGCUUUCCCUUCUAACCCCACCGCAUAACGUACAACCGUGACGCCGGAACACCGCCGCGCCCACAGAAGCACCAGAGCGCCGCCGCUCGGACAUCAUCGCUGUCCGGUCAACUCCGACCAAAUCAGACCGAACCACCGCGCCACUGACUUCGUCUCAAUCCCAGGAAGCUGCCGCCCGAAGGAAUCGGACUACGACGCUGUGAACUCGGAGAUCGGCCGUUUCUCCCCCAACUCCGGCCACCGGGCUCCAUCCUCCAAUUCUCCCUCUCCGCUUCUCAUCGACCCGAGUGGGCUGUCGCCGUGAAGCCACCAUUUUCUGCCGCCGCCGGGGAGUCUUCUCCAUCGCCAUCGCUGUCCGGGAUCCGCCAACCGUCGCGCACCCCUUGGUUGAUUGCUUAGUCUUCUGAGUGAUUUGUGGAAAUCGUUGCUUCUUCUAGGAUCGGAUCCAAAAGGAGUAUUCUCCUUGUCGGCCGCUUGUGGAUUUGGGUAGCCAAGCUUUCGCGGAUCAGUAAAUAUCUGGCCGUUUGGCCUAACUAUUUAGAUAAGAAUGUAGAGUAAAGUUUACUUAUGUUUACUCCCUAUUUAUUCUGAUUGUCAUCGCUUA